rnacentral:rRNA from 1 species
UACGGAGGGUGCGAGCGUUGUCCGGAAUCACUGGGCGUAAAGGGCGCGUAGGUGGCGCGACAAGUCAACGGUGAAAGCUCGGCGCUCAACGCCGAGUCGGCCGUCGAUACUGUUGGGCUUGAGCACUGUAGAGGCUAAUGGAAUUCCGGGUGUAGCGGUGGAAUGCGUAGAGAUCCGGAAGAACACCGGUGGCGAAGGCGGUUAACUGGGCAGUUGCUGACACUGAGGCGCGACAGCGUGGGGAGCAAACAGG